AACGAACGUUAGCGGCGCGCCUAACACAUGCAAGUCGAGCGAGAAGGAAGCAAUGCCUGUAAAGCGGCGCACGGGUGAGUAACACGUAGGUAAUCUACCUCGAAGUGGUGGAUAACCUUCCGAAAGGAGGGCUAAUACAGCAUGAGACCACGGUUUCGAAAGAGAUUGAGGUCAAAGCGGGCCACUAUACAUAAGCACGCGCUUCGAGAUGAGCCUGCGGCCCAUCAUGGUAGUUGGUAGGGUAAUGGCCUACCAAGCCGAAGACGGGUAGCUGGUCUGAGAGGAUGAUCAGCCACACUGGAACUGAGACACGGUCCAGACUCCUACGGGAGGCAGCAGUGGGGAAUCUUGCGCAAUGGGCGAAAGCCUGACGCAGCGACGCCGCGUGAGUGAUGAAGGCCUCGGUUGUAAGACGUCUGUGGAGGGGGACGGAAGUAAGGGUUAGGGCGUAACGAUCCAGCUCGAUGACGGUACCCCGUUUACGUCAA
rnacentral:rRNA from 1 species